rnacentral:misc_RNA from 1 species
AACGCACAUUGCGCCCGCCAGCAUUCUGGCGGGCAUGCCUGUUCGAGCGUCAUUUCGACCCUCAAGCCCCCGCGGCUUGGUGUUGGGGUUCCCCUACGGCAGCUGCCGUAGGCCCCGAAAUACAUUGGCGGACCCGACGGGACCCCGAGCGCAGUAGCACCUGUUCUCGCUUAGGGCGUCGCGGCGGGCACCGGCCGUAAAACCCCACGGGCGCCUCCGGGCCCUGUGAACCCACCAAGGUUGACCUCGGAUCAGGUAGGAAUACCCGCUGAACUUAA